GCCUAAUAACAUGACUUUUAAUGUUUUAAACAGAAGCUCGGGUCAACAUUUUAAAUGUCUGCCAACAAACUCAUAGAGUAUUGUGGUGUAACAAGAAUUGGUUUAUAAACGAUAUUCAGAAAUUAUUACGAGGUUUUUAUUAAUGCGAAUAAUGGGACUGAAUGAUAUUUGCAAUUAUAGGAACUCGCAUUCUUAUAUCUGAAAAUCUUUACACUAGUACCUCAUGUAACUGUGUGAUUGUUUUCUUGAAAUUGCAAUAGUUAUAAUCUUGCAUUUUAACGAAUUAUAUGAAAUAAGCAUUUCU
rnacentral:lncRNA from 1 species